AGAGUUUGAUCAUGGCUCAGAACGAACGCUGGCGGCAGGCCUAACACAUGCAAGUCGAGCGCCCCGCAAGGGGAGCGGCGGACGGGUGAGUAACACGUGGGAAUUUUCCUCAAGGUACGGAACAACUCAGGGAAACUUGGGCCAAUACCGUAUGAUGCAGAGAUGCCAAAGAUUUAUCGCCUUGGGAUAAGCCCGCGUCAGAUUAGGUAGUUGGUGAGGUAACGGCUCACCAAGCCUGUGAUCUGUAGCUGGUCUGAGAAGACGAUCAGCCACAUUGGGACUGAGACACGGCCCAAACUCCUACGGGAGGCAGCAGUGGGGAAUCCUGCGCAAUGGGCGAAAGCCUGACGCAGCCAUGCCGCGUGAAUGAUGAAGGUCUUAGGAUUGUAAAGUUCUUUCGCCUGUGACGAUGAUGACGGUAACAGGAGAAGAAGCCCCGGCUAACUUCGUGCCAGCAGCCGCGGUAAUACGAAGGGGGCUAGCGUUGUUCGGAAUUACUGGGCGUAAAGCGCGCGUAGGCGGCUUUGCAAGCCAGAGGUGAAAUGCCUGAGCUCAACUUAGGAAUUGCCUUUGGGACUGCGAGGCUUCGAGGACUGGAGAGGUGAGUGGAAUUCCCAGUGUAGAGGUGAAAUUCGUAGAUAUUGGGAAGAACACCAGUGGCGAAGGCGGCUCACUGGCCAGUUUCUGACGCUAAAGUGCGAAAGCGUGGGGAUCAAACAGGAUUAGAUACCCUGGUAGUCCACGCCGUAAACGAUGAGUGCUAGACGCUGGGGUUAACCCUUCGGUGUCGCAGCUAACGCAUUAAGCACUCCGCCUGGGGAGUACGGCCGCAAGGUUGAAACUCAAAGGAAUUGACGGGGGCCCGCACAAGCGGUGGAGCAUGUGGUUUAAUUCGACGCAACGCGAAGAACCUUACCCAGGCUUGAACCGCAGAUGACAUCCUACGAAAGUAGGCUCCCGCAAGGGCGUCUGUAGAGGUGCUGCAUGGCUGUCGUCAGCUCGUGUCGUGAGAUGUUGGGUUAAGUCCCGCAACGAGCGCAACCCUUGUCUUCUGUUGCCAUCGGGUUAUGCCGGGCACUCUGAAGAGACUGCCGGUGACAAACCGGAGGAAGGUGGGGAUGACGUCAAGUCAGCAUGGCCUUUAUGUCUGGGGCCACACACGUGCUACAAUGGCCGGUACAAACCGUUGCAAACUCGCGAGGGUGAGCUAAUCGGAGAAAGCCGGUCUCAGUUCGGAUUGCAGGCUGCAACUCGCCUGCAUGAAGUUGGAAUCGCUAGUAAUCGCGGAUCAGCACGCCGCGGUGAAUACGUUCCCGGGCCUUGUACACACCGCCCGUCACAUCACGAAAGCUGGCUGUACUAGAAGUCGCUGAGCGAACCCGCAAGGGACGCAGGCGCCUAAGGUAUGGUCAGUGAUUGGGGUGAAGUCGUAACAAGGUAACCGUA
rnacentral:rRNA from 1 species